CCGGCCCCUGGUCGGCGUAGCCACACGCCACGUUUGGUAGCGCAGGAGCAAAACGCCCUCCCCCAAUUCUCCCAUACCUGCUGCGUGAGCAAGAUCGGUGACUUCAGACAGCACCUAAUACAAGAAACCAUAAAACGAUCAAAGAAAUCUUUAACAGAUACAGUGAUCUUAACUAGUGCCUUUACAGACGAUUACAUGGGAUUCACUCUUUGGAAAACACAGAGUAUGUCACUCCAUCCUCUACCCAUCCCAGCAGCACCAAGGUUGUGGGUUGCCUUCCAGGAUCCCAGAGGAGUAAACAACGGCAUCCAGGCAAAAUUUACCGGGAAACUUGCAGAAAAAAGUGGUAACCAGAGUUAUCAAGGGACUAGAUGGAGCUGUCUGAAUUGAUUUGUCAAUUUGGGUGUGGGGACAGGAGGAACACAAGGAAGUUCUUCAAGAAGAUUCCCUGGGAAACCUCUAUACAGAAAAGGAAGAACAAAAUGCCUGAAGUUCAGAAGUACUGUAAGCCUCUGCAAGCUUUAAAGAGAAAGGAAUUAAUAGAUUAAAAUUUGGCCCAAAUCACCAAGAAGAAAAAACCAGGAAAAAAAAGUAUUUUGAUUUCUUAGGGGGGGAGGGGUGUCACAUUUACUGAUUUUAUAAUCCUAAUAUAUCCACCAUGAUGUUAAUAUUAUCUAGGGAAAGAAAAGUAAUGUCCUUUCUCUUUACAUAUUUCCAUACUAUGCUAUAGUAGUUCAUGCAGUCAGCUCUUCCCAAAAGUAGCUCAAUCACCCCAUUUAUCAGGAAAUGUUCCUUCAUAAAAAACAGAAAAAAACCCAACAACCAAACACACUCUUAAUGGUUAGCAAACAGUCGGUUUUUAAGACAAUUUUUUUAAUUUUGGUCCCUGCUCCUCUGGAGUAUCUGCAGGCUAUGAGGGAGGCUAAGCUCUGGAUGAUCUAGUAGUAUCCAUUUUUGCAGUUCUUCAGUUUCAUACUAAGAAACUAGUCAGGAGCUGACUGCAGACUGUUUGUCCAACAAAAAACAAAGUUUGCUUUGCCAAAGUAAAAGCAUAUUCUGGGCUACAGUACUGAUGACAGAAAAAUAAGAGCGUGCUAGUCAUCAAGAAGGGGAAAAGGCUACUGCAUGCAGGAAGAUAAAGUAUGUGGUCUUUUUCCAUGGAUAAGAAAAAGAACUAAAAUUUUGGCUCUGCCUCCAGUCUUGUUGCAUAAAUCUUUAUGGUAAAGUGUAAUUAAAGGAAAUGCUCAACAACUCUACCAAAUGUAGUUUCCAAAUGUAUACCAAAGAAUCUAUUUUUCGGAGUAACACAGUUACCUACAGUGCCAAACAAACACUGUUCCUGCAAAGCAAAGUUUAUUACACUAACCAGAUCUUUCAGCUAGAAAACUGUCACCUCUCAUGUCUACUGCAGACGGUUCCUCCAGCCUAAUUACAAAACAACAUUUGAUUUCAUGACAACAUCUAUGGUGUUGUGUGUAAAAUAACAUGUUUUAAAAUAACUGUUGGAUCCAAAGUAAUAACAUGGAAGGAUGGGAAGCUGUCUGUAUACACCCAGACACACUGAGCGAGCCUGAGAUGGUGGCACUAUUACCAGAUGCCUUUUCUCAGUAGGCUUCAUAACUCUGGCAUAAAGCUUUAUACACAACUGCUGCAGAAAGGAAAUGCCUUGUACCUUGCUCAUCAGCCUUCAGAUACAAAACCAGCUUCCAAAGCAUGGGACAAAGAUGUUUCAACACAGCAAGACACAAUACAUUUCUCUUUUUGUGUAUUUUGAAGCAGUAGAAACAAAUAGGCGACAGCUGUGUUGCAGUAAAAUAAAGAUGAGACUUCACUGUGUUAAUAUGACAUAUAGCACUGGUUUGACCUUUCUAAUGAUUGUAUGUGUAUUUACAUAUAAAAGCUCCUCUUUCAAGACAGAAGGAAGACAUGCAAGCAGAAACAUUUCUUGUCCCAAGUUAGGUUCUAUGCAAAAAAAAAAAAAAAAAAAAAAAAAAAAAAAGGCUUCAGCCUUCAGAAGCCUGAAGCUAAGCUUAUGCUCAGAUAGGUUUUAAACAAUCCUUUUCUCCUGGCCUGGAUCCACAGGCUGUCAGCAUGAAGUACCACUUACAGCACUAAUCAGAAUAAGAUAAUUCAUCAUUGCUAUUACUGCUGUCACAUAAGAACUGUCAUUUGAGGGUUUUCUUUUAAAUAGGUAAGGUGGGUAUUCCUGAAGGAAUUGCAUUCAUGCUUUCUGUACAAAAGGGCAUGACCCUUCUCACUGAAGUGGAUUAGGGCACUCAUAUACAGUGGAGUCUAUAUCUAUGGUUAUGUAAGUAAAACAGGCAUUGCCUUCUGUUGCAGCACAAAAAAACUAGUAGGCUACAACAAGGCUUUUACCAUCCCAUACCAAGUUAACUUCAAUAAAUAGCUCCCAGCCACCAAUCCCCCACAAGGUUUCUAAGGUUCAUCUACUGUCCAAGAUAUUUUUUCAGGCCAGUCCCUCUGCUGCAUCCUUCUUCUUGUCUCUCCUACAUCCAGAGCGCAGGCAGGUGGGCACUCACUCCUUCUUCCAGAUCUCUCUUCACUGACUGCUCCUCUUCCAUACCCCUUACAGCUAUUUAACUACUUAGCAGGAACCAGCCACAGCUGCACCUUAUCCACAUCAGCCAACCCACCGCCGCUGCAGCCAGCCCACAGCUGUAUAUUGUUAAUUAACCCAGCUUCAUUCCUCUAUAGCCUUCAAGAUUCAAAUAUCUAAAUGGGAUGCAGAUAUCUUAUUAAAGUGCUAACCAAAAGGCUACCUCUGCAUCUGCUCACUUGACAGAUAAGUUACUGCUAUGGCCAAUGGUGCUUUCCCAGACAACCCAGACCAUUAGUUACUAGCAACAAAAGUGCCACAGUAUCAGCGCUUGCUCUUCCUUUCAAAGAAGAUUCUGAACUUUUAAGAAUGCGUUUAGUAGUACUUUAUCACCUCUUCUAUAAUGGUCGAUGCAUAAAACAAUAGAAACUGAUGCUGUGGCUACACUCAUUAGAUCCAAAGCUUAAAUAAAACAUUAAUUUUACAUUAAACAACGACUUUUCUAAAAUGUUCUAAACUGGCUGUGGUAUCAGGUAUUCUAUGCCACCAGUGCUUACACAGAGCCAAGUCCUUUCCCACUCCUCACCCCACCCCACCAGUGAAUAGAUUGGGGGGCACAGGAAACUGGGAGAGGACACAGCCAGGACAGCUGACCCCAGCUGACUAAAGGGAUAUCCUGUACAGUACGAUGUCAUGAUCGGCAUGUAAAGCUGGGGGAAGAAGGAGGGAAAGGGGGGACAUUUGGAGCGAUGGCAUUUGUCUCCCAAGUAACUGUUACAUGUCGUGGAGCCCUGCUGCCCUGGGGAUGGCUGAACACCCAUGGGAAGUGGUGAAUGAAUUCCUUGUUUUGCUUUGAUUGCAUGUGCAGCUUUUGCUUUGCCUAUUAAACUGCCCUUACCUCAACCUGUGAGUUUUCUCACUUUACUCUUCCAAUUCUCUCCCCCUUCCCACUGUAGGGGGAGUGAAGAAGUGGCUGUGUGGGGCUGCAUUGCUGGCCGGAGUGAAACCACUGCGAUGAUAUAAACCAGCAUCUGUAUCAUAAACCAGGUGUUUAGAUAAAGUCAUGGUGACUUCGGAACUUGAUCUUCUGUCACAGUCUAUCCUCUUACAGCACCUUUUGCCAGAAACCUCUUAAGACUUUAGAUGAACCUCAGACAAGCUGGGAUCUGUGUUACUAGCAACUGAAGCAGGUGCGAGGAGUUGCAGUACUGCGUCACCUUCCCACUCAGGACCGGCUUCGGCGGGAAGAGGCAAUUCCCUCACGCAUUUACAGUUACUGACCGCCACCGGGUGAAUGACUAAAUGUAACGGACACGCUGGGGCGGGAUCACGCGGGAAAGUUCAAGCAGACAUCACUGAGGGCCAGGGAGACCCGUCACGCCGCCUGCACCGACCCCCGGCGGGGGGAUGGCCCGGCCCGGCCGCCCGCUCGCCUCACCCGGCACCACGGGGGCUCCGGGGCGGCUCGGCAGCCCCGCCACACUCCGCACGGAGGGCGGCGAAAGGACCUCCUGCGGGCCGCAGCGGUGGCUGCGGGGUUUUCCCCCGCGGGGGCUGGCAGAGGGGGCGCUGGGGCCGCGGCAGAGAUGUGCGGCGCCCUCAGCCCGGCGCGGGGGUGGCUGCGGGGCUGCCCGGUGCAGCGCCUUCCCGCCCGCCCGCGGCUCCCCCGCGCCCUCGCCUCACCGCCGGGCAGCGCCACGGCGGCGGCGGGAAGGUGGCGCGCCCCCUUG